CAAGGGAGUGUGGGCUAUGUAGAGAUUUAUAGGCUACUAUGAGAAUGUUUACUGCUAUUCAGGAGAUAGGAAGCCAGGUGAGGGCUGUGAGUAGAGGGGUGAUUGACUUCUUUUUCAAGGACUUCUUUUUUAAAUGGCUGCCAUAUUCUGAAAAGACGAAGAGAAGUAAGGACAGAGCCAGUAGAGGCAGUAGGAGCUAAUACAAUAAUCUUUAUUCAUCUCUCAUUCUGUCAAGGAGGAAAAUGUUUGCGAGAAGCUCUCUAACAGGUUCUGUCUCAGGUUCAGUUGGCCAAAAUGGAGUUAUUUGCUUACUCUCAAGCUGCAAACAUGUCUGGGAAAGGAACUUUCUGGCAUUCACAGUGAGUACAGUGGAAGAUAGGCUCUGUUGGUAAGAAAAAUAAAAGAAAUAGCUGUUGUUUACACACUCAAUAAUGCUUUUCAUGGUGGACUAAGAGCAUUAAAAUGGCUUGCAGCUUUUAAGUAAAAUAUUAACUUGAUAAACUUUUAUUUUAGAAUAGUAGCUCUAAAUGCCUAGAAAAAAUGGACCAGGUUAGGGAAAGACUAGAAGCAGGGAAUCUAAUUAGAUGCUGUUUCCAUAAUCCAGAAGAGGAAGAGACACUGGAGCCCUCUCUCUCCUUGAGUGCACAGAAAAUAGACCAUAUGAGCACACAGUGAGAUGGCAGCCAUCUGAAAGCAAAGCAGAGGGUUCUCACUAAGAACGAAGUCUGCUGGCACCUUGAUCUUGGGCUUCCCAGGCUCCAAAACUGUGAAAAAUAAAUGUCUGUUGUUUAAGCCACCUAGUCUAUGAUGUUAUGUUAUAGCAGCUCAAGCUAAUUAAGGCAGGGAGUAAUAAGAAGAAACCAUGUAGAACCAGCAAUGAAGAGCACGUUGAACACUCUUCCACCUCCAGCCCCAGCGCCAUGGAAGGUAACUCGACAUCUUCUAAGAAUAUAGUGACCUCAAAACAUAUAUAAUCAUUUCCAAAAUCUUUCAAAGUUAAUAAUGAAUAACAGCUUGAAAAGUAAAUGCAAGUAAAGUCACUUUUCCUGAAGGAAGAUAAAACCCACCGCAGAUUAUAAAAAAUAAGUCGGAAGAAUUGACAGAAAGCUACAUUGAGUACUAAAGAUUCUAGGCCCAGGAGAUGAAAUUAGUGACAUCUUGAUCAAAGAUACAAAAAGUGAAGACUACACAAAGAGGGUAUUUAGUAUCACGCAGCUGCUUCCUCACUUUCAUCACCUCUGACAGGAUCACUACAUGUAUUAAGAUUUUACCCACAGGGAAACUGAAGAUCAAAGAUAUGAAAGGAAUCACACCGAGUCACGGAGCUGAUAAACAGUAAAAUAUGACCAUAAAUUCAAAUGUCGUAAAACUAAAUUUGUUAUAGUUUCCUUCAAAACCUGCCACUUCCCAUUUUUCCAGAUACUAUACAUAUCAGUAUAAAUAUCUGUCACAUUACAGACUAGAUAAAAUCCAGCAGUUGAAUGAAAGUCACAGCUUACUACAAUCAUAUUAUUCCUUUGAAUUUUAAGAUGAAAUGGAAAAUAUUUUCCCAUGGGAAAAACAAUCUGCAUUAUUCUGAGUUUCUAUCUUCUGUUAGAGAAGCUUAGCCUGAAUUUAAAAGUCAUAGCCCUUUAGCUAAUGUAGUACAUGUGGGGCUUUUGCCAGUUGCUAGGAAUAUAAAAAAUGACGCACCUCCUGCCUUUUUCAAAAGGCUUCAAUGUCAUUGCAUAUUCUUACAAGAAGAGAAUGGAGAAGUGGUUAAGAGUAUUCUAGAACCAGAUUCUCUAGCGCAAAUCCAGUCCUUUCACUUCCUUAGGUUUGUGACCUUGAGCAAAUUACUUCCUCACUCAGUGCCUCCUAUUUUCCUCUGCAAAUAGGGAUAAUAAUAUUAUUUACCUCAGAGUCUGUUGUGAAGAAUAAUUGAGUGUAAGCUCAUUUACAUGAGGUUAGAGCUUUGAAUAAAAUGUACAUUUCGGGCUUCACAACGACCCUAAGAUAUAGGUGUUUUUAAUCCGUAUUUUAGAGAUGAGAUCAUUGAGGCUUAGAAAGUUAAUUAACUUGCCCAAUGUCAAACAGGUGUGUGUGGCAGAGCAGGAAAUGAAAUGCAAGCCUGCUUAUAAAGGCUCUGUUUUAACCAAUAUGUUACAUUUUAACCUGGAACUAGCUGAUGUGUAAAAUAUCAUAUUCCCGGGCUUCCCUGGUGGCGCAGUGGUUGAGAAUCUGACUGCAAAUGCAGGGAACACGGGUUCGAGCCCUAGUCUGGGAAGAUCCCACAUGCCGCGGAGCAACUGGGCCCGUGAGCCGCAAUUACUGAGCCUGCGCGUCUGGAGCCUGUGCUCCGCAACAAGAGAGGCCGUGAUAGUGAGAGGCCCGCGCACCGCGAUGAAGAGUGGCCCCCGCUUGCCACAACUAGAGAAAGCCCUCGCACAGAAACGAAGACCCAACACAGCCAUAAAUAAAUUAAAAAAAAAAAAUCGUAUUCCCUAAAGUAGUGCAAUAUUCAAACAGUUCAGAAAAAUGUAGUUGUAUUAAAUGAGUUUUGUUUUUUAAAAACUAGACAUUCCACUGAUGUUAAAUUUUUUUAAAAAGUUUGUUUUCAAGGGCACCAUAGAGUUUAAAGCUAGGUGGUUUACCAAAGACAACAGAGUAUCGGCAAUGGUUGCCCUCACCAAAUAGUAUUAGUUACAACAGAAAAAUACUUGUUAUAUUUCAGCACCUUUCAUACAUUAUAUCAAGACCUUAUGACAACAAUAUAACAUAAAUACCUAUGUUUGCAGAUGAGAACACUGAGGCUUUUAUAGGUUGAGAAAUGAACUUACAGUUAUCCAGAUAUAAAGUUGGAGACCUGUAAAAUGAAACCAAUUGACUUAGCUCCCAAGCCCAUACCUUUUCUUCUAUGCCUAAGUGCCUGUUUGUUUGUUUUUUUUCCUGUGGGCAUUU